GGGUGCUUCAUGUAGCACUGAGGUGGGUAGUUCUUCACGUGACCCAUGGACCACUGAGGCUCAGCCUCAUAUACCACUAGCUUCUGGAUUGUUUGAUGGUGCAUCACAUGUACGCCUUCGACCAUCAGUUACUUUGCCUGCAUCACAUGUCCACACCACUACCAAUAUUGGUACGGCUGUGGGGUUGAGCCAGAUGCAACCAUCGACAUUAUCAUUUGAGG